UGUUUCUCCUGCUCGAAACCUUGGAGAUGGCAAAUUUCGGGAAGGUUGCCAGUUUUUUUUUGUUUAAAGCACUCUUCAGUCAAUCACCGGUUCACAAGCUGAUGCGAUAAAAAAUAACUAUGAUAAAAUCUUUUGAACAGUUCAAUACCACUCGUAAACUGGAAUAUGUUUGUUAGUUUUUUUUUAUAGGAUAUAUAAACUAGACACAUGUUUACUGAUUUCCGCAAAAAUAAGUGAACGUGUGUAAAUGAAUGAAAUAUUACAAAACGAAGAAGCGAAGAGUUGAACGAUCGAGUAAAACAUAAGAAAGAUCCGGGUGUAAUCCUGGAUCAACUACUUACAGGAUUUCAACAUUGCAUUGUAGAUAAGGCUUCGACGUCUCUAAAAAGCUUGGGCCUCUCUGGUCUCGCGCGACCAAAAAUUUCGAAGGUAUCUACUGCCUAGUUAAUAUCAUCAAGAUCUUACUGUUCCCUACACGCACUACGCGCAGUAAACAUUCAAAUCAACGUACGACCUCGAGGAUUGAGGAAUCGUAAUCUUCAGAGUUUUGCCGCUCCGAGUAAACACUUAUACACGCAGAAAAAGAAUGGGGAGUCGAUUCAACAAAACGUAUUUUUAUUUAAUUGUGUUGUAACAAUAUACAUUUACUGGGUAGUUUGGAUAUGAAAUUCGAUUCGAAACAGAAUCCCACAUAUUGUUAUUUUUACAAAAUAGUAGUCGUGUAUGAGAUAGGGGUACGUCAUUUUAGCAAAAUAAAAUUUUAUUGUUUUUGAAAUAAAUAGAAUUGUUUUGAAUCGAAAUAUAUGUUUUGUUAGCCAAGCGUGUAGAUGAACUGGAAGAAAAAAGAAAAAAAAAUCAUCAAAUUUUAGCUUGCGCGCCCCACUUGCAGUCGAACAAAAAUCGUGAUGAUUGUUUCCUGCUCGCUCGGGGAUCAAAAACCCGGAUUCCGGAGGUCACGCAACAGAUUUGGUUCAACUGAAUCAAUCUUGUUUCACUGUAGAGACCAUGGAUACCGAAAGCAGUGGAGUUGGUUCGUCGAACCAGGACAACCAACAAAUUGAGGGACACAGCUCAUUCAAUCUAUCUCCCUGCUGGUAGCCAGAUUAGAGAGUGAAUCGGGCUUUGAAGCGAUUCCUCUAUAAGUGGCAGCCCUCCCAGCGGGACGAUAUUUUAAACCUGUUCCCGAAGACAGUACAAUCCAGAUGUCGCGACCCAACAGUAAUCACCCUUUGCGUUCCUGGUCCCGCCUUUCGCAGUUCUUAUAAACUUAAACUAAUGCACAUCAUCAUUUGCGGGACCAGUCGAUACAAUACCAGGCGAUCGUGAUGAAGAUUUCGCUUUCGACGGAAGAUCUGCCCUACUGGAGAGCGGAAAGCAUAAAACACAGAAACACAGUGUAUAUUUGUGAAACCAUUAAUAAAAAAACAAAAUGCCGUUUUAAAUAGUGUCACACAAUUCAAUCCGUUUGAAGAAAAAUCCCUUAUUUUUAAAUUAAUAUAUUCAUUCAAAACAAUCAGACAGAACUAAUUAUAAAGAAUCGCAAGCAUGUUGUUAUAU